CAUUGUGAAGCACCUCCCUCCCCGAUAAUGGAGUCCAACACCACUCAUGCUUCCAUAUUCAAAUUAAAAAGCGGUAGAAACGAGAGGCUGGUUAACGGAGAAGAGAAGGACGAUCAAACCCUAAAUUCUCUACCGCCAUUUUUGCUGCCGUUCUUGCUGCCGUUUUCGCCGCCGGCACCAUUACCACUGCCGUGUUCGUUGCAGGAGAGAGCUUCCGGAUCGAGUCACCUAUCUUAUCAAUGCGUUUUCAAAUCUGUUUCUCUAUACUGUUGUUGCUGUCAUUGUUGUCACCGCAGUUUCCGCCGCGGUUGCCGUCACAGUUUUUAUCGCCGAUGCCAACGUAGUUGCCGUGGCACAACGCAUUUUCAGAUCUAUUCACUCCCGAGCUUCUUCUUCAACGCUGCUCUCUCUCACUCCAAUUUCUCCUUUGGACUGCCGCUGAUGAAGACAUUAGAAAGGAAUUUCUUAGUUCAUGGAAAACCAUGUCAAUGGUAGAUGAUGAUGCAAUGGAUUUUGGCUUUGACUCUAUUCCUAAAGGGAAGAAAAAGACAUUUGACUUUGAGAAACUGUGAGUCUUCUUGAAUUUUAGAGUUUGAUUUUGGCAAAGUGAAAUAUGAAGUCAAAGGAUGUUGUUAUUGGUUUCAUUCUGAAACAUCCUUCAUUUUAAAUGUUCCAGUUGACUGAUAAGAUGUUUGUAUUUAACACUUAUACUAGAGAAGGGUUAUAUGAUACAUUAAAUUUUUUAUUUCACUAAAGGCAGGAUAUACAUAUAUGCAAAUGUGAAUUAGUAGCACCUAUUUAUUUCUAAGAAACACUCUCUUGCUGUCGGGACAUGAAUUUUAAUUUGGACGGUGAGUUCAAAAACAUAUCAUCAUUUAAGAUGGACAUGUCUGACCUUGAUUUUGCAUGCACACCCAAAAAGUCUUUCCAGUCUAAGGACAAAAAAGGAGAAUCUUCUGGUGGUGGAAAAGCAGGAAAAGAAGAUGCAUUUAAUUUCAGCUUUGAUUUUAAUGAGAUAACAGUUGGAACUUGGAAUGUUGCUGGAAGACUUCAUCUAAGGAUCUUGAUAUUGAAGACUGGCUUUGUACUGAAGAACCAGCAGAUAUCUACAUCAUUGGGUGUCUGUUCUAUCAAUUUGCCUGAUAAUUUUGUUAUUUACUUUCUACUUUCUGUGUUUUUCUCCCCAAACUGUUUGCCUUUUCACAUUAAUGACAUUUGUACCUUUUUAUAUUUUUUUCCCCUUUUAUUAAUGACAUAUGUUAGGAUCACUCAAGAAGCUUUUGGGAGAAUCUUAUAUACCGUGAUCUAAUCUGAUUGUUCACAUAGCUCUGUGUUACAAGUUUAUUACAUAGUUUCAUUUAGUUUUUUUAUGUUAUAGUUCAUAGAGUUUUGUUGUUGAACUGUAUUAAUUGAUUUCAAUGAUAUUUAUCACCUAUUUAUUCAAUUAGUAUAUCUUAUUUGCAAAGUAUCUUUAUCUGCUAAAUCUUUUCACUGAUUAGCACACACAGAUUUAAUCAAGCAAAACUUCACCCUGGAAUCCUGUAAAUUUGUUCUUCACUGGAUGCUGAGUUUUUCAUUCCUAUGGUUCAUAAGAAUGGAUUUAGUGAAGAAAAAAUAUAUGCUUAGCAUGCAUUUACCAAAUAUCUAUCUGUAUCCUUAUGCUAAACUAAGCCUACUUCAUACACUUACACUAUGAGUUUCCAUUUUAAAAUUGGUCUUCUAAUUGGUCUUCAUAAGAAACUAAGCCUACCAAAUGUUAUUGUUGGCACCAGCUUUAAUGAAGUGACACAAAAUUUUAAUUGCCUAUACUAUUCAACUUCUAUGUGAAUGAUUUAGAGGUAAUUCAAUAUGGACCAUAUUCACUUAAUUAAUUCAUCUCCAAAAUAUUAUAGAAAAAAAAAUAAAUGUUAGUGGUUCUUCAAUUAUCUCCACAUCAUUCCAAGUCCAAAGAAGCCUUUACACAUCCUUCAGAAUGUUAGUGGAAUCAUAAAGCCCAAAAGGUGAAUGAUUAUUUUAUUAUUAUUUUCUUUUGUUUUCUUUCUCUAUUUUUAAUUUAUUUUGUUAUUGCUAAAAAAUACACCCACGAGAACCAUAUAAAAUUUUAUUUAUUUAUUUUUUAUUUUGUUGCUGGUAUAAUGAUGAGGUUUGUUUUGUAGAAUGACUCUGUUGUUAGGAUCCCCAGUCUCAGGGAAGACCACAUUGCUAUUAGCCUUGAUUGACAUUUUGCUGGAAAAUUUGGCAAAGAUUUAAAAAAAUCAGGAGAGUAACGUACAAUGGGAAUGGGGUAGAAGAGUUUGUGGCACAGAGAAGUUCAGCGUAUAUUCGGCAACAUGGUUAAUUAGAUGAAUUAGUUUAGUACUUGAGUUUGUGGCCAAAGGUAACAUUUUAAGCUUUUUAUUUAUUAUGUGCUUGACAUUUUAUCAAAGGCUAAUGAUGUUAUUAAUUAAAAGUAUUUAUUUAUUGGAACAGAUUUCAUAUGGAAAGACAGCCACUAAUAAUAAUAGCAGAGGCAGAGGCAGAGCUUGUGACACAGACCUCUGUAUACCAAUGGUCAAUUGAAGCAAAUUUGUGGUAUUGAUGAGUAGUUUGUAUUCAAGGUUGGGAUGAUCUUUAACACCCUUGAAGAUGCUGCAAAAUUCUACAAGGAUUAUACGAAGGCUGCAGGUUUUUCUACAAGAGUUCGGAGCACAAAUAAAAAGGGAAACGAAAUUAAGAAUGAAUUGAUUACAUGUAGCAUAGAGGAAAAAUGGAAAUUGAAAAUAUCUUCGACCGAGAAGACAAAUUCCUCAGCUGGAUUUGAAGUAGGGAAAUCAAAAUUUUUUUAUUGUUUUGAAUCCAAUCAACUGGUUGAGGUGUGGUUCAAUUUAGAAGAAAAAAUAUAGCAUUAGAGGAAAUAUUUUUCUAUAUUUGUAGCAAAUUUGGGUGUAUUUGUAAGAAU